AUCGCUUCUCGGCCUUUUGGCUAAGAUCAAGUGUAGAACUUUACUGUAUACAAAAUUUUUUUCAUAAAAAGUGUUGGAAGCCCUA
rnacentral:snRNA from 1 species